rnacentral:misc_RNA from 1 species
GUGAAUCAUCAAAUUUUUGAACGCAAAUUGCGCCUUCUUCGGAAGGCAUGUCUGUUUGAGGGCCCCGCUUAACAAAUAAUGUGAAGCGUUUUUUGUUGCACACGUUGAUGAGCUUUCUAAGAAUUUUAAAUUUUUGGUGGCGUUUAAUGAACAGCGUGAAAGUUUUUUUUAGUUUGAGCGUAGUAAAAUCUUUGUUUGGGUUGUGAAAAAACAUAAUCGUG